rnacentral:rRNA from 1 species
GGAGUUAGCCGGUGCUUCUUCUGCGAGUAACGUCACAGAUGUAAGGUAUUAACUUACACCCUUUCCUCCUCGCUGAAAGUGCUUUACAACCCGAAGGCCUUCUUCACACACGCGGCAUGGCUGCAUCAGGGUUUCCCCCAUUGUGCAAUAUUCCCCACUGCUGCCUCCCGUAGGAGUCUGGGCCGUGUCUCAGUCCCAGUGUGGCUGAUCAUCCUCUCAGACCAGCUAGGGAUCGUCGCCUAGGUGAGCCUUUACCUCACCUACUAGCUAAUCCCACCUGGGCUUAUCCAUCAGCGCAAGGCCCGAAGGUCCCCUGCUUUCCCCCGUAGGGCGUAUGCGGUAUUAGCAGUCGUUUCCAACUGUUAUCCCCACAAAUGGGCAAAUUCCCAGGCAUUACUCACCCGUCCGCCGCUCGUCAUCUUCAAAGCAAGCUUUUGAAUGUUACCGCUCGACUUGCAUGUGUUAGCUCGCCGCCACGCGUCAUACUGAGCCGAGAGUACAACUACUGA